rnacentral:misc_RNA from 1 species
GAAAUGCGAUAAGUAAUGUGAAUUGCAGAAUUCAGUGAAUCAUCGAAUCUUUGAACGCACAUUGCGCCCCCUGGUAUUCCGGGGGGCAUGCCUGUUCGAGCGUCAUUUCACCACUCAAGCCUCGCUUGGUAUUGGGCGACGCGGUCCGCCGCGCGCCUCAAAUCGGCCGGCUGGGUCUUCCGUCCCCUCAGCGUUGUGGAAACUAUUCGCUAAAGGGUGCCGCGGGAGGUCACGCCGCAAAACAACCCCAUUUCUAAGGUUGACCUCGGAUCAGGUAGGGAUACCCGCUGAACUUAAGC